GGCGACAAUACUUCAGAGAAUCAUUUCUAUAGUAGUCGACCUUCCUCUUGGCCCCCCAAAGGAGCUACAGACUCCGCCCUGGUUGAUGAAUGAUGUCCUUACGUCCUUAGAGUGAAUAACUCUGGUGACUUCCGCUCUGUCUGCAAAGACGGCGAUGGCUUCGGCUGUGCAGCUGGCUGUAUAGGAAGUGGUGAUAACCUCGUCCCUGCUGCAUGCGCAUCGGUAGGGUGGGAUGUAAUGGACGUCUGACAGGU
rnacentral:snoRNA from 1 species